UCAUUAUUAUGUAUUACAAUUAUCUUAUGUUUGGGUUGCUAAUCUUUUAUGUUUGUACUUUUUUUUUACCUAACAUAUAGGAAUUUGGCAUCCUGAGCAAGGACAUUGUCUUUGUGACAGAUAAUGGCUCAAAUGUGGUGGCAGCAUUUAAAGAUUACGUCAGACUUUCCUGUGCCGGCCAUAACAUGAACCUGAUUUUUAAAUAUGUUCGACCACUUGGAUGAGGAGAACCCACAGCACAGCAUCAUCAUCAACCUGUUUAGGGGUGCAAAGACCCUUGUCACACACUUCAAAAGAGCAGGAUAAGAUAUUUUACAGUCCUGUCAUGUCUGCUUGAUUACACAAGGUACUGGACAGAUCACUGAAGCAAGCAGUGGAGACGAGGUGGAAUACCAGACUUGCAAUGCUCUAAUCUGUGAGAGAUGCUCUGCGGACCGGUAAGCUGCAUGAGGUCUUGCUUCGCUGAAAAGAGCUUCGUUAUGUCAACAACCUAGAUCCAGACCGUCUUGAAGACAUCAUCCACCUCCUGGAAACUUUUGAUGAGGCUACCAGGCACCUUUCCACUGAGCAGACACCUACUCUCCACCUUGUCCUCCUGAUCAAGGCAACCCUGCUGAGGGGUUUGUUGCUUCAGGAUGGAGAAAGUACAAUUGUGAAAGAGAAAAGGUAGUUAGCCCAGGUGGUGGAGUUGAAAUUCAAAAUCCAACUUUACCACAAGAUAGCCACAGCUCUCUCUCUCCUUGCCUGAGGUGUUUCUUAAGGAAAACUCUCAAUGUUGAGGAGUAUGAGGAGGUUAUCAACAUUCUGGCAGCAAUCACAGAAAGAGCAGGGGCAGGGGAGAGAGUCCAUAUCAAACAAGAUCCACCCCUAGUGGCCACAGAGGUGCACAACUUCUCAAGUUGUGUGCAGGAGGAGGAGAGGGAGGAGGACAGUGGUGACACAAUUAAGGAGUCCUGGGGCCGCCAGUUGGUGAUAAAAUAUAUGAAUAAGCCUUCAAAGACGACCGGCUUCCAGUCCCUUCUCAAGUUCUGGCAGAAGAUGUCAGUUGGGCUAGUGCCAGUUGCCAAGAGGCUGCUGGCAAUCCUGGCAACAAGUACCCCGUCAGAGGGGAGUUUCAGUGUUGCGGGGAGACUAAUUGAGGAGAGGCAUGUUCGGCACCACCCCUCUGGAGUAUGUUGAGGUGUUUCUUAAGGACUGUGUCUAAUGUCUCCUAACUGGUUUGCCAUGUAAAGUUUAAAAAACUUUGUCAUGGGACGGGAUAGAUGUGCAGAGGGUCAAGUAUUUGUAUUUGUAUCUGUAUAUGUUGAGGCAGCAAAAUAAUUUGUAUUUGUAUUCAAAUAAAAGUGGA